AUUGAACGCUGGCGGAAUGCUUUACACAUGCAAGUCGAACGGCAGCACGGGGGCAACCCUGGUGGCGAGUGGCGAACGGGUGAGUAACACAUCGGAACGUGCCCAGUCGUGGGGGAUAACUACGCGAAAGCGUAGCUAAUACCGCAUACGAUCUAUGGAUGAAAGCGGGGGAUCGCAAGACCUCGCGCGAUUGGAGCGGCCGAUGGCAGAUUGGGUAGUUGGUGGGGUAAAGGCUCACCAAGCCGACGAUCUGUAGCUGGUCUGAGAGGACGACCAGCCACACUGGGACUGAGACACGGCCCAGACUCCUACGGGAGGCAGCAGUGGGGAAUUUUGGACAAUGGGCGCAAGCCUGAUCCAGCCAUUCCGCGUGCAGGAUGAAGGCCCUCGGGUUGUAAACUGCUUUUGUACGGAACGAAACGGCGCGGGUUAAUACCCUGUGCUAAUGACGGUACCGUAAGAAUAAGCACCGGCUAACUACGUGCCAGCCGCCGCGGUAAUAC
rnacentral:rRNA from 1 species